rnacentral:rRNA from 1 species
AGGACGAACGCUGGCGGCGUGCUUAACACAUGCAAGUCGAGCGGUAAGGCCCUUCGGGGUACACGAGCGGCGAACGGGUGAGUAACACGUGGGUAACCUGCCCUGUACUUUGGGAUAAGCCCGGGAAACUGGGUCUAAUACCGGAUACGACCUUGUCACGCAUGUGGCAUGGUGGAAAGUUCUGGCGGUACAGGAUGGGCCCGCGGCCUAUCAGCUUGUUGGUGGGGUGAUGGCCUACCAAGGCGACGACGGGUAGCCGGCCUGAGAGGGCGACCGGCCACACUGGGACUGAGACACGGCCCAGACUCCUACGGGAGGCAGCAGUGGGGAAUCUUGCACAAUGGGCGAAAGCCUGAUGCAGCGACGCCGCGUGAGGGAUGACGGCCUUCGGGUUGUAAACCUCUUCGGCAGGGACGAAGCGCAAGUGACGGUACCUGCAGAAGAAGCACCGGCUAACUACGCGCCAGCAGCCGC